rnacentral:lncRNA from 1 species
UUGUAUGUUAAAAAUGUUAGAACAAAUACAACAACGAAAAUCCGAUUGCGAUUAAAAAUCUAACUAAUUUGUAAUAAAGAUAAAAUUGAACUUACAGAUAAACGCAAAUAUUUCAAUAAAGAUUUGAUCUUAUCCGGAAGCGUGCGAGGCACUGUUCUAAGGCUUAUUCCCGUCCUUCGUGCAAGAUUAACCGAAAACACCGCCCCAAGAUACGACCGGAAUUUCUCCUCCUACGGACACGAACACGAAAGAGGUUGACGAAAUUUCUUUCAACACCCGAUGAUAAAAGAUAAAAAAAAAAAAAAGUGAAUGAAGCUAAAAAAA